UUUCCGUAGGUGAACCUGCGGAAGGAUCAUUAUUGGAUUUAUUAGAGAGGAGCUGUGCUGGCCUUCCGGGGCAUGUGCACGCUCUGAUCGACCACAUACACCUGUGAACUUGUGUAGGUGCCUUUUGCAGUCGGAUGGCUUGACGCUGGAUAACGGCCGACGGUCUUGGCUGCACGGGGUUCCUACGUUUUAUACACUCUUAUACGCAUGUCUACAGAAUGUCUUUUGAUCUUGGUUGCCUUAAACAAGCAGCUCAAGUUAUAUACAACUUUCAACAACGGAUCUCUUGGCUCUC
rnacentral:misc_RNA from 1 species